AACAGGCUAAACUUUCUCCAUUCAAAAAAGAAAAAAGAAAACUUUCCAUAGUGCUUCAGCUAGCUGCAUACAGAUAGCAAGACAUAUUUUACCGUAUAUAUAUACAGUGCAGUACGUACGUGCACUGUGGAGUAUGAGACUGCGUAAUUAAACACGGCAUCACACCAACUGGACCGCCGCACUUGAUAUGAUUGGGCAGAUUGGGAGCACCGCACACCGCCGCACCCAACCGCCGCGCGCUUUUACUUUCACGCAUGUAGUAUUGGGCCUACUAUAUAUCAGGGUGAGGGUGAGCAAACCGCGUUCGUGCGUGCGCAUCCUGGGCCUGCUUUAAUUUGGGCUACAUUCAAAUAACCGCCAUUAUUAUACGUACGUGGCCUUUUUUUUUUCCUUUCUAUUUUUAUAUUUUUAUAUGUUUUGGAAAAUCGACACUGUAGCACUUUCGUUUGUAUUUAACAAAUAUUGUCCAAUUAUGGACUAACUAGGCUUAAAAGAUUCGUCUCAUCAAUUCCGACCAAACUGUGCAAUUAGUUUUUAUUUUCGUCUAUAUUUAAUACUCCAUGCAUGCGUCUAAAGAUUCGAUGUGACGGAGAAUCUGAAAAAUUUAACAAAAUUUUUUGGAACUAAACAAGGCCUUAGAACAAACGUACCUUUAUUUUCAAGUCAGGCAAAUCUAUAUGCAAGUUAUAACUUAUGAAAACACUAUGCCAAGCUUCUCUCCUUCAACUUUUUCAAAUGGCCGACUCCAGCAAGUCUUUCGUGGGAUGACCGUACCAAUACCACCUUUAGCACCGAGUUAGCAUUUCCAAAACAUUCUGCAAAUGUUUUCAUUUGCACCUCACCACGCCAUUCAAUCUAAUACAUAUACAAAGUUAGAUCUCGCUUAGUGAUACAAGAUAAUCAUAUUAGCUAAAGAAUUAUUUUCUCCUCUUCAUAGUACGAAACAUGGCUAAUUAUUUUCGCUUCUCUAAUCACCUUAAUUGGGACACUACCUUGUGGGCUUUGUUUUCAUCCUUCUGUAUCUCCAUCGUCUUUGCUUGUUUAGCCUUU
rnacentral:lncRNA from 1 species